AUAUAUUUUAUAAAAAUAAAAAAAAUCAGUUCUUAUCAGUUUAUAUCUGAUACGUCCCCCAUCGGGGGACUACAUAUUAAAUGGAUUUUUCGAAAUGGGGCUUGCUCCGUCCGCUCCACGGACGGUACACGUCCGCUCCACGCAUCGACCCGGU
rnacentral:snRNA from 1 species